rnacentral:rRNA from 1 species
GGUUGACCUCGGAUCAGGUAGGGAUACCCGCUGAACUUAAGCAUAUCAAUAAGCGGAGGAAAAGAAACCAACAGGGAUUGCCUCAGUAACGGCGAGUGAAGCGGCAACGGCUCAAAUUUGAAAUCUGGCCCUCCGGCCCGAGUUGUAAUUUGCAGAGGGUGCCUCGGGGGCGACGCCGGCCUAAGUUCCCUGGAACGGGACGUCACAGAGGGUGAGAAUCCCGUACGUGGCCGGCCGUCCAUCCCGGGUGAGGCCCCUUCGACGAGUCGAGUUGUUUGGGAAUGCAGCUCCAAACGGGUGGUAAAUUCCAUCUAAAGCUAAAUACCGGCCGGAGACCGAUAGCGCACAAGUAGAGUGAUCGAAAGAUGAAAAGCACUUUGGAAAGAGAGUCAAACAGUACGUGAAAUUGUUGAAAGGGAAGCGCUUGCGACCAGACUUGUCCGCGGGCCAUCAGCCGUCCUUCGGGGCGGUGCACUGACCCGCGAUCAGGCCAGCAUCGGUUUCGGCGGCCGGACAAGGGCCCGGGAACGUAGCUCCCCCGGGGAGUGUAUAGCCCGG